GCCUGGUGGAGACGCCGACGCCGACGUCGAAGUAGUCCACCUCCAGAUACAACGAAUCCCACAUUCACGAGUUGUCCUGGAAACAUCGGAAACCAGUACACUACCGGUGCAUCUCGGAGAGUGACCUGGGCUACACCCACAGCUACAGAUAACAGAGGAUCUGUAACAGUCUCAAGAAUAUCCGGUCCGAGCUCUGGAUCUACAUUCAGUGUAUCAACCACUCGAUACACCAUUCAAUACCGAGCCACAGACGGUGCUGGAAAUUAUGCCACGUGCUCUAUCACUUUCACGGUCUGUGGUAGGUAAUAAGGGCUUC